GGAGAUUUAGUGCUAUGUUGCGACUAAUCUGGCUUGUUAUGAGUUUAUUUAUGACGGUGAAAUAUAUAUUGAUUUAUGCUUGCACCAAAAAUUCACACAUUGUUGGCGACCUUGAAAAAUGGCGCUAAUUGAACGCUAAUAAGAAGAAGCAGCAGCAGCGACAGUAUAUGAAAAGUGUGAGAGCGAGAUAGAUGUAAAGAGAGUGCGUUAUUUUUAUGAGAGAGCAUGCUAACCAAAUGUGCUGUUAUUUGUGAUGAUGUUAUGCGGAUGCCACCAACAGAGUUGGCUCAUUGGCUCAGAUUGGGUGUGAAUUAAGCGGCAGCAUUCAAUGGGAAACUGGAAAACCCGUUUGGUUAUGGUCAGUGAAAUGAAUGCUUGAAAGCAAAAAUUCAACACUCAAACGAGAUUAUCAUCGACAAUGGCCACAAGCGAACACACACACACACACACACAUACGUAUACAUGUAAGCUUCGUUGACUUACAAUGCUGCAUAAUUGGGUCAAGAGAAGCAACAGCAAGUGAAAUACAAGAAAACAACGCAGACUUUUUAUCGCUUGCAUUGCAUUAAUCAUUAAUCGUCGCAUUGCAGAAGUGAAAGCAGAGUUUGUCGCCUAAGUCUUUCGAUUGAGUAAGUGUAAGUUUGCUAUGCUUGUAUACUAACCGCCAAGUAUU